CGUGUCUCCUUCUCUGCCGUCGUCGUCAUCUCAUCUCCGUCGUCGUCAUCUCAUCUCCGUCGUCGUUGUCUCCUCCUCUCCAUCGUCGUCGUCGUCUCCUCUCCGUCGUCGUGGUCGUCGUCUCCUCUCCGUCGUCAUCGUCUCCUCUCCGUCGUCGUCGUCGUGACGGGGUCGCCGACAUGUAUCUAGACUUGUGUUCGGUGGGAUGUUUGGUGCUGGAGAUCUACACGGACGUGCGUCCGUGGAAAGGUGUUCAUCUCAAUCUUAGCUACUCGUCUCCGUUGUGGUGAAGCUGUGUCUGUGGAAUGUGUGAACAUAUGCAAUCUAACGAAAGGAGACAGGGAAUGUAAGAAGUGAUUGCAGUGUUCUCUCAUGUGCUUGGAAAGCUCCUAGAGCCUUAACUGGGUUUCUAGCUAGCACUGCUCAUCCGCCUGUGUUUUCUUUGUAUCUAUGUGGCCAAAUUGGAAUAAAGAGUAGAAUAAAAUCUAAGCAUGCUCGUUCUGAAAAACUAAUGAAGGAAUAAAAGCUUAGAACCAAUGAUGAUGAUGAUGAUGAUGAAGUUGAUGAUCCAGAGAGCAUGCCAACGAGUUCUUCUGAUGAGUCCUAAUAAAAUUACCGGCUUUAAUGUUAGGAGAAGCAGAUAAAAGGGAACAGAAGAUCACAAAGAAAGGAUAAGAGAUCACAAAAACAAGGAAUGCUCAGAACCCAAGUGGAUAACCCAGACACUCCAUCUCAGGAGAAGCAGAUAAAGGAAAACAGAAAAUCACGAAGACAGGGUAUGAGAUCACAGAAACAGGAAAAGGAUUCGUCUAUUACAGAUGGAGGUAAAGCAGACGCGACGCCAGAAUCUAGAAAGAAAAUGCGUCAAACUAAGGAUUGAGACUAUUGUGUAUCUCUCCUUUCAAUAUGAAAGAUUCAUUUUCACAUUUUCUUGAGGAAAAAUAGUAGGAGAGUGGGUUGGAUAUGCGUCAGUUUUUUACUUAUCUACAAAAUAUUUUGCUUGUAACUGAUAUAUGGUUUUGAUUAAUUCAGAUUUGAGUUAUAUACAAUUUUUGUGUGUUUCUUUUUUUUAUGCAA